rnacentral:rRNA from 1 species
AUUCGUCCAAGUGAAGCAGAGGACAGUGGCGGACGGGUGAGUAACGCGUGAGGAACCUGCCUUGAAGAGGGGGACAACAGUUGGAAACGACUGCUAAUACCGCAUAAGCCCACGGUGCCGCAUGACACUGAGGGAAAGGAUUUAUUCGCUUUAGGAUGGACUCGCGUCCAAUUAGCUAGUUGGUGAGGUAACGGACAACCAAGGCGAUGAUCAGUAGCCGGUCUGAGAGGAUGAACGGCCACAUUGGGACUGAGACACGGCCCAGACUCC